rnacentral:rRNA from 1 species
UCGCGGCGGUGCGCGCRRAAGGGUCUGGGCUCGAGCCUGCCUGGAGCCGCCGCCGGUGCAGAUCUUGGUGGUAGUAGCAAAUACUCCAGCGAGGCCCUGGAGGACUGAUGUGGAGAAGGGUUUCGUGUGAACAGCCGUUGCACACGAGUCAGUCGACCCUAAGCCCUAGGAGAGAUCCGAUGCAAACGGCGAUGGGAAAAAUUUGUAUUUAACAUAGAAAGAAGCCCACUGAUCGGGCGAAAGGGAAUCCGGUUCCUAUUCCGGAACCCGGCAGCGGAACCGUUGUUUGUCGGGCCCUCACAAGGGGUUCGUCAGGGCAACCUAAAAGGGCCCGGAGACGCCGUCGGGAGCCCCGGAAAGAGUUUUCUUUUCUGCAUGAGCGUUUGAGUUCCCUGGAAUCCUCUCGCAGGGAGAUAGGGUUUGGAACGCGAAGAGCACCGCAGUUGCGGCGGUGCCCGGGAAUUCCCGACGGACCUUGAAAAUCCGGGAGAGGGCCACGUGGAGGUGUCGCGCCGGCUCGUACCCAUAUCCGCAGCAGGUCUCCAAGGUGAAGAGCCUCUAGUC